rnacentral:misc_RNA from 1 species
GGAAGUAAAAGUCGUAACAAGAUUUCCGUAGGUGAACCUGCGGAAGGAUCAUUAUUGGAUUUUGAAACUUCAGGCUGCUGCUGGCUCUCCUCGGAGGGCAUGUGCACGCUUGUUGUCCAUUAUUUCUCCCACUGUGCACAAAUUGUAGACCUUUCAGUAGGCCUAUGUUGUUUUUCACAAUCUCUGAAUGUAAUAGAAUGGUUUUGAAUCUUGGGAAAUACAAUACAACUUUCAGCAACGGAUCUCUUGGCUCCC